ensembl:lncRNA
AAAUGAACUUCACAGCUCUGGAUUCAGGUCCAGAGGUGUUUUUUAAGACACAUGAGAAAUGGUACGUGUUUCAGCUGCUCCAGAGAUGCCUUUGAAGGAAGAAAUCUUCGCCUCCUGAUGUCACGAAGCAGGAAGGAUCCAGUGUCACCCAGGCGGAUUCUUUACCAGCUGAGCCACCAGGGAAGCCCAAGAAUACUGGAGUGGGCAGCCUAUCCCUUCUGCAGGGGGUCUGAACCGGGAUCUCCUGCAUCGCAGGCGGAUUCUUUACCAGCUGAGCCGCUGUAACUGUAAGUGUAACGAUGAUGGAACCUAAAUAGCUUAUAGAUGGUGCAAAAAACGACCUUUGCAAACCCAAACUGCUGCUGCUGAUGGUGUAAUUGCUUCUGGGAAUCCAGUGUGAGAAUCUGACGCAGAGAAGCAUGUGAACAGUGAGCGGUUUCACCACCAUUUCCCACACU